rnacentral:lncRNA from 1 species
AUAGACUGUCACUUUUGCUCUUUCUUUUUCAAGAAAACUACCACUUUCUGCUAGGUACGUUACAACCAAAACAAUCUCAAUUAUGAAAGGGUGACCAACCCGUCACGACUAAUAGGGCACACAAUGUCAGCUCCGUUAACUAUGAACAUUAAAUCUGUCGUUAUUAAUGUGGGACCCACUGGUCCGUUCUGUUUAAAAUUAGGCCCCGGUAAGGCAGGCAACGCCACUGUUGUUGGCAUCUGCUACCACCAUGUCAUGGUUGUUCACACCACGAGGAUUCCCUCGGCAAAGAAAAAUACAUCUCUCUCCACCCUCUUGCUCUCGGAUGCUAUCAACAACGACGACACGCACAAGUGCGCAGACAUGGGCACAUGAAGCCCUCUCCAGCAAUGAGUAAUUCAAGGUCUAAUGCCGCCCGUGCCUCCGCGAGCGAUCGGCCUGCCUCUGUCCAAGAAGCCAUCGAAACCGGGACUGAGCUAGAGUGCCUUAUGGUAGGUGCAUUUGGUUGUAUGAAGGUGGGACCAGCAGUGGCUGGCCCACAUGGUACAGACCCAAAGGUAGGUAACGUUAUGGCACUCAAGCAGCCCUCCCACGCACGAAACGGACACCGCAGCCGCCACGGACGCCGUUGAACGUGUAGACGUUAAGGCCGCUACUGAUGCCGCUACAUUGUUUGGAAAGACUGUUGAACACACUCGCAUGAUUGCUACAGGCCUCUCUGCCAUAGCCUUUACCCCAUGUCGGAAAGCCCUGGAGGUUCCCCAUGCCUCUCACGCCCACAAACAAGUUCUUCUCCUCCGUUGCUUGGCUCCUCCUACACCGACGCCUUCUCUGCGGCGCCAAACCACUAGUGGCCGGAAUCGAGGCAUGUGCCGCACCCCGACAGGCACGGUUCUGGUCAUCGAUAGCCAAGUCACAGAGCAGGGAGAGAGGCGGCACUGCCGGAGCACUUCUUGACUAGGGUGCCGCUCUAGUCUAGUAAACCAACUACAUACAUCGAGUCUAUCCACGCUCUCCUGUGUUGCGCGUGUGUGAUCGUUG